UUUUUGGCGCCGUUGCCGGGGAGUCAUGGUUUAACUCAUCUAGUAGUGUAAACUGAUUAAAUUUGACUUGAUUGUAUAUAUUUUAUUUUUUUAUUUUUAUUUUUUUUCUCUUUUUAUAAAAAAGUACUACUAGGGUUUGUGUUUCUUUUGCAUGCAGUAGGAGCUCAGACAUACUAGGAGCAAGAAAAAUACGCAACCUCUUCUUGAAGCCUUAAGCGAGACAAGG
rnacentral:lncRNA from 1 species